AGCGAACGCUGGCGGCAGGCCUAACACAUGCAAGUCGAACGGAUCCUUCGGGAUUAGUGGCGGACGGGUGAGUAACACGUGGGAACGUGCCCUUUGGUUCGGAACAACUCAGGGAAACUUGAGCUAAUACCGGAUGUGCCCUUCGGGGGAAAGAUUUAUCGCCAUUGGAGCGGCCCGCGUCUGAUUAGCUAGUUGGUGAGGUAACGGCCAACCAAGGCGACGAUCAGUAGCUGGUCUGAGAGGAUGAUCAGCCACACUGGGACUGAGACACGGCCCAGACUCCUACGGGAGGCAGCAGUGGGGAAUCUUGCGCAAUGGGCGAAAGCCUGACGCAGCCAUGCCGCGUGAAUGAUGAAGGUCUUAGGAUUGUAAAAUUCUUUCAGCGGGGACGAUAAUGACGGUACCCGCAGAAGAAGCUCCGGCUAACUUCGUG
rnacentral:rRNA from 1 species